rnacentral:misc_RNA from 1 species
UACGUAGGGUGCGAGCGAUGUCCGGAAUUAUUGGGCGUAAAGAGCUCGUAGGCGGUUUGUCGCGUCGAUUGUGAAAGCCCGGGGCUCAACCCCGGGUCUGCCAUCGAUACGGGCAGGCUGGAGUUCGGCAGGGGAGACUGGAAUUACUGGUGUAGCGGUGAAAUGCGCAGAUAUCAGGAGGAACACCGGUGGCGAAGGCGGGUCUCUGGGCCGAUACUGACGCUGAGGAGCGAAAGCGUGGGGAGCGAACAGG